AUCAAAGACAUCUCUCUUUGUUAUUAUAAAAAUAAAGAGUUGGGCCUGCUCGGUGAAAAUUUUAACAGCUGCGGUAUUUUAACUGUACUAAGGUAGCAUAAUAAUUUGCCUUAUAAUUUGAGGCUAGAAUGAAUGGUUUGACGAAGGUUAAUCUGUCUCUAUUUUAUUUUUUAGAAAUUAAUUUUCAUAGUGAAAAAGCUUGAAUUUUUUAAAGGGACGAGAAGACCCUAUUGAGCUUAUAAUUUUGUUAUUAUUAUAUUUAUAUUAAUAUAGUAAUUUAUAAAUUUUAAUUGGGGUGAUUAAGGAAUAAAGAUAAAUAUGUAAGUAACUUCCUUAAUAAAUUAUAUUGUUAAAUGAAGUAACCAAUAUAAUAUUAGUAAUAAUAUAUAUUGCUUAUAGUAUAGUUACCAUAGGGAUAACAGCGUAAUUUACUUGGAGAGUUCUUAUUGAUAAGUAAGAUUGCGACCUCGAUGUUGGAUUAAAGUAACCUUAAGGUGCAGAAGCUUUAUAAGGUAAAUCUGUUCGAUUUNAAAACUUUACAUGAUCUGAGU
rnacentral:rRNA from 1 species